UACGGAGGGGGCAAGCGUUAUCCGGAUUUACUGGGUGUAAAGGGAGCGUAGGCGGCGAUGCAAGUCAGAAGUGAAAGCCCGGGGCUCAACUCCGGGACUGCUUUUGAAACUGUAUGGCUAGAUUGCAGGAGAGGCAAGUGGAAUUCCUAGUGUAGCGGUGAAAUGCGUAGAUAUUAGGAGGAACACCAGUGGCGAAGGCGGCUUGCUGGACGAUGACUGACGUUGAGGCUCGAAAGCAUGGGUAGCGAACAGG
rnacentral:rRNA from 1 species